GUGGUGCUCAAUGAUGUAUAUUAAGUGAAACCUACCAACUGACCUUUAUCCUUUCCUUCCUGUUUUUUUAAUAUUAAAGAAGAGACCUCUUUUCACAAAUGAUUGAGGAGGCUAGUAAAAUGCAGUGAAAAGAGCAAGUUCUUUGGGAGUCAGACAGCAUCGGAUCCAGCCCAGAGCGCAGCACGACUAGUAGAGUAACUUAGAUUAAGUCCUUAAACUUCCAGUGUCCUCUUUUGUAAACUGGGAAUAAUAAUAAUAAUAAAUAAAUAGUGAAUAAUAUUUAUGCAAAGUACUUAGCACAGUGUCUAACACAUAAAAGCUUAGGAGAAGUUGGCUAUUAAGCAUUUCUAGGAACCCGAGGACUCAGGGUUGUUAUUUUAGUUCUUGGAAUCAAAGGAACUUGAAGCGUAGUCAUUCCUAAACUAAGUUAAACCAGAACUAGCGCUUUCAGCAAUGAUGUAAUUUGAUCUCUUCGGGCCACCGUCGCUGAGCAUGCGCAAAUAAACGUGGCGGGACGUA
rnacentral:lncRNA from 1 species